CUCUGCCUUUUAAACAUUCCGGUCCGCCUCGCCGUGCCGAAGUGCAGCACCGGGAGCCAUCACACACGAGCGCAGUUGCGCUUGCUGCAGUGCGGCUGCGCUGUUUGUUCCGCCCGUGCCACUCGGUCCCGGCAGCCAUUGUGCGCGGCGUCGUUCUCGGGGGCCGCUCACCUUCCACGCGGAGCUCCUGCCCGGGCGGCCCCUGAACGCCGUCUUUGUCACGAGCGACCCGCCGCCGUUCGCCUGCGCUUCGGAUUCUUUCUGCGUUGGGAGAUGAUCCUGGAGGAAGGAUUCAAACCCAUGGCCUUCGAGUCCAAAGGCAAGAGCCCUAACCACUACGAGACUAGCUGGCCACCUGCUAAAGACAUGUGUUUCAGGGUAACUGGAGGGGUGGACAUCCAGUGGCACUCGGACCCCCACAGGAUUUUUUUUCUCCCUUCUUGCUUUUCGGUUCAGAGUUUUUUUGUUCCUUUCCUCCGUGGCCAGUCAGCUCACUUAGAGCUUUAAUAACUGCAUUGUUAUUAGAGUAAUCUCACGUAUAGCCAAGCUUUCAUUUAUAUUAUGCCUCUGACCCUUUGUUCAGCACUCUGUGUCACUGUGUGAGAAGAGCGCUCUAUAAAAAGUAAACUGAAUUGAAUUGAAUGCUGUAAUAUUAUCAAUAGCCAGGAUGCAAUCGCAGUUAUUGUUUUAGGCAGCAGAAAUCAAUACAGUCAAUAAACAUCUUAAUGAAUAUGCUGAUUUCGGGUAC
rnacentral:lncRNA from 1 species